UUUAUAAUUAUAGCGCCCGAACUAAGUUCUAAAGGUUAAAUUGAAUUUAGUUGACGAGGAAAAAAGUUAUCGAAAAUUCGGCGGAUGCUUUUUCGGAACCAGAGAGUUUCGUUAGAUAAUGUACAAUGGGGUGCACUUUACUAUUUCUA
rnacentral:ncRNA from 2 species